rnacentral:misc_RNA from 1 species
CCUGAAAGAACCUGCCUUUGUAGUGUCCACACAGAUUGUCUGAUGAAUGAUAAAUUUCAAAAUGUACUGAGAAGUGCAUUGUGAAAUUUUGCUCUUUAAAAAUCUGGAUCAAGCUGAAAAUUGAAACGACACACUGUUUCCUUUCUCCGUAAUAAGAAAGGAAAAAGCGGUGUGUUCGAGUCUCUCAAAUUUUCGCAACGCGGACUGUUUUACGAAACAGUUUCGGGUUGUGA